rnacentral:lncRNA from 1 species
UGCUGGCCUCUGUAGAUGCACACGUCAGUUCUCGGAUCUGUGCAGUGAAGAGCCUUGGCACAUUGAGUGGAAGGUGAAGCUCCAGCUCUCUCUUCCCGACCCAGUGUUUCUCACAAGAAACCCCAGUGAUCUGAGCUGAGAACCAGUGCCACAGCCUGCCCAUCGCCUCUUUGCCUUGCUCAUGUAAUAGUCCGAAAUUCUCUCUCCACUCCACCUCUCUCAUUCUUUAGGACUCAAUGCUAGUGCCACCUCUUCCAGGAAGUCUUCCUCUAGGAGUAGGAUUAGGUGCCUCCCUGUGCUCUGGCACUUUCCAGGUUAUUGACAUGAUCCUUGAGGGUCGGAAGGCAGGAAACCUGGCCUCCUUUUGCACUCUGUCCCUGAGACCUUGCUCAGCAAGCGUGUUGACCUGGCCUGAGCACCCCAUGCUGGUCUCCCUGGCAGCUCAGAGCACCUGUCCCCACCCCUCUCCAGCUCAGCUCUGGCUCACCUGGAGGAGGGGCACAAGGGCUCCAUUGUGUGCUAGAGGGGACAGGAAUAGGGUGAUGCUCUCGAGGGUGGGGCGGGGGCUGGAGCCCGGACAGAUGGAACCCAGACAAAGCCCUCUUUAAGCGGGGAUCGUGGCAGCUGUGCUGACAGUGUACUACAGGAGCCUGGUUAGCUAAAGGAACCAAAUGCCCAGGACGCUGUGAACUUGGCAGUGUCUGGAGGGUCUUCCCAGCGCUGCAGGUGGAUCAUGCUGCUGUCCCAUCUGACAGAGGAGGAGAUGGAGGCUCAAGCAGGUUAUACCAGGCCCGACCACCAAUAAGAGGUCACAGGGCCCUCAGUGCCUACCCUGAUUCUCCUUUGCUGCCCCUGCUCCUCUCAUCCUAAAUCCUCCAAACUCAAGCCCUCCCACGCAUCUUUGAAUGUCUCCCGUCAUUUCCAUGAAUCUGGCAUUGUCUCUAUCCCCUCCCAUACCCUAGACUAGGGCCCCCAGCAAGGACGCAGCCUCCUUCCUCUGCAUCUCUGCAUAGAGCUCGGGACAAGGCUGAGUACACACCAAGUGCACAGGGGCAGAGGCAGGGGCAGAGUGGAGCAGGCCCUGAGAUAGUUCUAGAAAAUGGGCCCCUCGGUUACCUUUGGAGGAAGGGAAGAACCCGGCCAGGACCCUUCUGUGUCUCAACACACGUGCCAGCAGGUGGCACACGCCUGUAGUCCCAGGUACGCUGGAGGCUGUG